rnacentral:ncRNA from 1 species
CAGGUGUCGCAAGACUCAAUAGGGAAUUCGGUAGAAGCCGGAGCGGUCCCGCCACUGUAGCAGCGAGCAACCCUGCAAGGAAUGUCACUGAGGCGAAUGCCUUGGGAAGGCGCAGGCGAGUGAUGAGCUGGAGCCAGGAGAACUGCCUGAUGGA